AGGUGAAUGGAAGGGGGGGGAGGAAGUAGCGGAUUGGGUUAGAUUCGAGCCUAGCGCAUGCGUCCAUCGAUUUUAAUUUUAAAAUGUUCAGGGGUGGGGCAGGAAUCGGUCGACAGUCCAUGCAUGCGAUCUCUAUCCGAUCCCGGGCGAAUGAAUCGGUCGUCCGUAUCUGUAUUGAAGAGAGAUGACUGUACUUGCCGCUGUUAAAGUGAAGUUCCUUGAUCGACAAAACGCUCCUAGCGAGCGGAAUUGAUAGCUAGGAUAAAUAAUUGGCUACUUUGGAAUCUCGGGCGGAAAUAUCUGUUGCACUCUACUUUUUAUGCUCCAAACUGUCUACUACUAGAUUGGAUUAAAAAACUAGAAAUAGCAUGCAAGUCUUUACACCGGCAAACAACACGUGCAAGGAUUGAGUUAUAAAAGAAACACCGUGCAAGGACCUCGUUUGGUUUUAAUCUUUCAACUGUGUUUUGUCACAAUGAAUUGCAGCAGCAGCAACAUUUUGAAUAACUGGUUUUAAUUCGAAGCGAACAGCUGUCUCUCUCUAUUCUAGCAAUUGUGCUGUCCAGCGCCACGGACAGAAAUUUUCGCUUCUUCACGAAGUUGUACAUGAAAGACGACUCUGUGAUACCCGAUUUCAUUGUUGAACACCUGCAGAUGAGACUAAAUGCAAACAUCAGCAUGGAUCUCUCAUCUCUGCAUGGAUUUCUCCGAUGAGGAAAUAAGCUAGUGAUGAUCUAUUCCAAAUAGGACUUAUAAAAGCCCAGGUUCCGGUACUUUUCCAGGUAGAUUUAUCCAAAGAAAUUAGGAUCUUCUAGAAGACGAUG
rnacentral:lncRNA from 7 species